rnacentral:rRNA from 1 species
UGGGGAAUCUUGCACAAUGGGGGCAACCCUGAUGCAGCGACGCCGCGUGAGCGAUGAAGCCCUUCGGGCGUAAAACUCUUUCGACCGGAACGGAUAUUACGGUUCCGGGAGAAAAAGCUGCGGCCAACUACGUUCCAACAGCCGCCGUAAUACGUUGGAAACAAGCGUUGUUCGGGGGUUCCGGGCCUAAAGGGUUCGUAGGCGGUUUUCUAAGUUCGGUGUGAAAUCUCCCGGCUUAACUGGGAGGGUGCGCCGAAGACUGGGAAGCUGGAGUGUGGGAAAGGCAGGCGGAAUUCCUGGUGUAGCGGUGAAAUGCGUAGAUAUCAGGAGGAACACCGGCGGUGUAGACGGCUUGCUAGACCAUAACUGACGCUGAGGCACGAAAGCGUGGGUAGCAAACA